rnacentral:rRNA from 1 species
UACGAAGGGGGCUAGCGUUGUUCGGAAUUACUGGGCGUAAAGCGCGUGUAGGCGGUGAUCUUUGUCAGAGGUGAAAGCCUGGGGCUCAACUCCAGAAUUGCCUUUGAAACGGGAUCGCUUGAGUCCGAGAGAGGAUGGCGGAAUUCCUAGUGUAGAGGUGAAAUUCGUAGAUAUUAGGAAGAACACCGGUGGCGAAGGCGGCCAUCUGGCUCGGUACUGACGCUCAGGCGCGAAAGCGUGGGGAGCAAACAGG